CCACCAAGUAGAUAAUAUAAAGAUGAUUGUAGGAACCGCACUCAACCCCAGCAGCCACCAGUGCACUGGAACAGGACCAGCAAUCUCAACAAGUUAAGGCAAAUAAGGAAUUUCCAGGCACUCAGAGUGUUGAAGCCGCAGGCAGAUAUUAAUGGAUCAAAAAGAAAAGCAACGUUUCGACCUUCUAGGAGGUCUUUUUCAAGCUUAUUCUUAGAAGGUGAGAAUAAUCUGGAAAAGGC